CACUAAUAUUAAUACUAAUAUUAAUAUUAAUAAUAUAAUAGUAAGAAAUAUUAUGAGAAAUAUGGCACAAUCUUAGGCGCAACAUUUCUUUGAACUACAGUUGCUCACACACUACGCAAAAUAAAAAUGACAAGGUAUACUUCUUGUUCGAAAUAAAAUACGCAUGAAUGUAUAAAAUUACUCUUCAAUCUUUAUUAAUUUGUUACAAAAUUAUUAUCAAGAUAAAUUUUCAAGAUAUAUAAAGUUACUUCUACAAUUAAUUUGAAAGAGAUAAGAGGGUUUCUUUGAGGUUAAAUAAUCCUAGGGUAGUAUUUAUGGGAAUACUUCUUCUUCCUAUUUCACUUCCAACACGUUCGAUUCGGAAGUAACAAAUGAAGGUAGGAAAUUUUUCUAUUAUACUACCUACAACACACAACCCAAACUGAUUUUCAAUUCUAUGGGAGUCAACGACGAAAAUUUAAAUGCGAAACAAGUUGCUAUUGCAAUCAAACAUGACCGAAACACACGACGUGAUUCUUCGAAAAACACUGUAAUUCGAAGAUUCCAACGUUUCCCCUUGCAUUUAAAUGUAUUGGUAAAAUAAACUUUCUAUUUUCUACAAUUCGAAAUGUGUUGCACUUUUAGCAAUCAUAUUAUAUUUAAACAUAAACUGUUUCUUUAUUAAAA